rnacentral:rRNA from 2 species
GCUCAAAUUUGAAAUCUCACUAUUUUGUAGUGCGAAUUGUAGUUUAGAGAAAUGUUUUCGAGGUUUACGAUUAGUACAAGUUCUUUGGAACAAGAUAUCAUAGAGGGUGACAAUCCCGUCUUUGACUAAUUGAUAAAUUUCAUAUGAUACAUUUUCUAAGAGUCGGUUUGUUUGGGAAUGCAGACCAAAAUGGGUGGUAAAUACCAUCUAAAGCUAAAUAUUGGCGAGAGACCGAUAGCGAACAAGUACCGUGAGGGAAAGAUGAAAAGAACUUUGAAAAGAGAGUUAAAUAGUACGUGAAAUUGUCAAAAGGGAAACGUUUGAAACCAGUAUUGUGAGUAAUUAUUCAACUAUAUCCUCGAUAUAGUGUAUUUAAUUAUUUACAAGUCAACAUCAGUUUGAUUUGAUAUAAAAAGCUUUUAUCAUGUAGCCCUUUGGGUGUUAUAGAUUUUAGUCAUAUAUUGGAUUAGACUGAGGACUGCAGUGUUAUUUAGAGAUCCUUAUCGCCUAUGAAAUUCGUUAUAAAGAUUACUUGUAAAUUUUAUGAUAGAAUGAUUAGUACGGUUUGGUAUCAUACCAACGCUUAGGAUGUUGACGAAAUGGUUUUAAGCGACCCGUCUUGAAACACGGACCAAGGAGUCUAACAAAUAUGCGAGUAUUUGGGUGGUAAACCCUUAUGCGUAGUGAAAGCGAAAAGGUGGGAUACUUUACAGUUGCACCAUCGACCGCGCUAGAUUAUUACUAUCUCAGCGUGAGUAUGAGCAUAUUUGCUGGGACCCGAAAGAUGGUGAACUAUGCCUGAAUAGGGUGAAGUCAGAGG